AACCAACAGGCUCCGCUCGCCGGCUCCGGCGAAGGUUUCUUCCUCGCGUGGCCCGGUCAUCAUCGCACCUCCUGAGGGUGGCGGAGGUUAGGACCCGAGCUCUCCGUCGGUCGCCACCCCACGAGGCGGGGCCGGGGCAGAGACCCACGCGUAGGCCGAGAGACGGAGACGUGCCCACUGGGAGAGACGGACUCCCCCAGAGACAGGCACACACCGGGGCUGCGGACCCAGACAGGCGAAGGAGCAAAUGCAAACGCGCACAUACACACACCGACCCCCCCCCCGGCCCCCGCACCACACCGCACGGACACGCCUUGCUACCCCCUGGUUGGGAAUCGCGGAUUUAUUGCGGUCGAGGCCUUGUGUGGCUUUCCUCCGCGCCUUACAGCCGCUCGGAGCACACGCCGUCACGGCGAUUCCGUCUCCACAUUGCCAGGCGGCUCUCCCCGGACACACACAGACACAACCACAGACCCUCGGUCGUUCAUUCGAUAUGUAUUGAGCGCUCUCUGUACGCAGAGCACUGUGCUAAGCGCUUGGGAGCACACUACAGCAGAGAGGAGCACCAUGGCCCGGUGGGUAGAGCGAGGGCCUGGGAGUCAGAAGUUCGUGGGUUCUAAUCCCUGCUCCUCCCGUUGUCUGCUGGGUGACCUGGGGCGAGUCGCUUCACUUCUCUGACCCUCAGUUUCCUCCUCUGGAAAAUGGGGAUUGAGACUGCGAGCCCCACGUGGGACUGGGACCAACCCCAUUUGCAUGUAUCCACCCCAGCGCUUAGUACAGUGCCCGGAACGUAGUAAGUCCUUAACACAUACCGCUAUUAUUAUUAUUACGUCCCCGGACACACACAGAUAUAUACACGCAUUCAUUCAUUUGUAUUUAUUGAGGGCUUACUGCGCGCAGAGCACCGCACUAAACGCUUGGGAGAGCACAAUACAAUAAUAAACGGACACCCCAACGAGCUCACGGUCUCAAGAGAGGACUUCUUGGCAGUCGGGGGGGGGCGGGGAGAGACUGAAGAAGGUCAGUCGGUCAAUCGAUCGUGUUUGCUGAGCGCUUACUGCGUGCAGAGCACCGGUCUAAGCGCUUAGGAGAGGACCAUGUGACGGCAUAACGGACACGAUCCCCGUCCACAACCGGCUUACAGUCUAGAGGGAGAGACAGGCAUAAAUAGAAAUAAAUAAAUAGGUGACGGAGAUGGGCAGAAGCGCUGGAAGGCUGGGAGUGGAGGGGGGGUGAAUAAAGGGAGCGAGUCGAGUGGACUCAGAAGGGUCCGCAGCCUCUCCCCCU
rnacentral:lncRNA from 1 species